CAAGCACCAAGCACAAGGGGAAGGAAGAGCCAGACUCGCCCAUCACUCUUCGUGGUUCCAACUCUAGUUCAUGGACGAGGACUCUGAGACCCAGAGGGAAGAGGCAUCAUAUCCUAGGUCCUGCAGUGGGCAACGUGGAGACAAGCCCAGAUGCCAGGUGUGUGGGCCCGGCCAGGGUGCCACACAGUGUCUGCCACCAAGUCCGGGGAAGCACUGAGGAAGCCAGCGGUGAUGACGGUAAAGAUGGCUCAUCCUCGUUGCUCAGCACAGUUUGCCAUGAACCUCGCAUGCGUACCGUCUUAGUACACUCAGGCCUCAACCAGACUCAUUGAACUCUCCGGGCAAAUCAGGAUUUGACCCCUCUCCAACCCAAUAGAUUGAAAGGAUUUGUUUAACAUUUAUUUGGGGGAGAAAUUGGGUCCUGCCUGAUGAGGGAUGCUCGGCCUCUUCUGCUUUCUGCCAUGUCCUCAUUGUCCCAGCAAUUCCGUUCUACCCCAGACUUGCACAUCUCCACUUAGCCAAGCAAAUGUCUUGCAUUCAACUGACCCGUUGUCCUUAGAAGGCAGGUGAGAAACUGCCUGUUUUUUCCUUUAGUCUUGGGGGGAUGCUGCAAGGAGACAUCAUAUUCCCACCCCAAGCAGCUUCUAUUCAGCCACAUCCAGGAUCCUCCCUGAGACAAGUUCUGACAAACGUAAUUGUCCCCUUCUUGGUGCAUUUCUAGCAUUUGGGGUGCCCUAGGCUUGGCCAGUAAGAACUACCAUAGCAAGGUGGAUCAAGCCCUGACCUCAAGAAUGAACACUUAUUUUACUACCUACUAUGUGCCAGGCACUUGCCAGCAGCUUCUAUAACAGUUUUUGUUUUAAACUCACAAUGGAGACACCUGGGUGGCUCAGUCGGUUAAGCA